rnacentral:misc_RNA from 1 species
ACGAGGAAGGGUUUCCGAAAGGAGCCCGAACUCCCCACCCUUUGCUGUUGCGAAUCUGUUGCUUCGGCGGGCCCGUCCUCCCCCUGCAAAGGGAGAGUGCCGGCCGGGCCUCACCGCCCGGACAGCGCCCGCCGGAGGACCGAACCAACUCUGUUUUUAACCAUAAUGUCGGAGUACUUUUGUACAAUCAAAUUA